rnacentral:rRNA from 1 species
GUGCCAGCCGCCGCGGUAAUACGUAGGGGGCUAGCGUUGUCCGGAUUUAUUGGGCGUAAAGCGCGUGUAGGCGGCCAGGUAGGUCCGUUGUGAAAACCCGAGGCUUAACCUCGGGACGCCGACGGAAACCAUCUGGCUAGGGUCCGGAAGAGGAGAGUGGAAUUCCCGGUGUAGCGGUGAAAUGCGCAGAUAUCGGGAAGAACACCCGUGGCGAAGGCGGCUCUCUGGGACGGUACCGACGCUGAGACGCGAAAGCGUGGGGAGCGAACAGGAUUAGAAACCCUAGUAGUCC